AUGGUUAUGGUUGACGACAUGAGGACACUUAACCCAAUAAGGAUUGCAGCUGAUCACGUGGCGACUGAUGGUAAUCGCAACGGGGGGCGGAAGAGAGCUGGUGGUCAUGAGGAUGCUCCUAGGCGUAAGAAGGUCAGGUUCUUGUCUGAAAUUGUCUCGCAGCCAGAGCCAGUGAUGAUCACACAUGACCCAACACCGGUGGAAGAGCGUGUGGCACAUGAUGACCAGGCUGUCCCAGAAAUAAAUGAGAACAUCUCUGGGGCUGUUGGUGUGGCGUCUGGUAGUGAAGUGUUCCCCCCCGGAUUUGGUCCUCUGCGACGGAUUUCUAAACAGGACAAGGGGAAAGAGGCGGUUGUUCUGGAGGAUCCCGUUAUUGAAGCGAUACGCAGAGCGAUGGCAGGAGGUGGGCCGAUGAUAAGAGACGGUGGUCAAGGUGGGCCGAUGAUACGAAACGGUGGGCAGCAUGCUGCACCUGAUGAUGAUGAUGUCCGAGUACCACCGCAUCUUGGGCAGUUCAUUAAGCCUAAGAAGGAGAUGAGGGAGAAGUACCCAGGCAAGCUAGGUCUGCAUCCAGAUGAGCCGAUUGGAUGUGAUGUCAUGGGGUUGUUCGACAAGAUGGACGGAUGCUCUACCAUGGAGUUUGCAAGGCCAUGGUACAUUCAUACCCACCCAUACACCACACAGAUGACUGGGACGCAGAUCCAGAUGUACUUUGACCGGGAUGGUGAUCCUGAGCGGAAGGAGGAGGCAAUCAUUUUUUGUGGAUUGCCAGAACGGUUUAGGAUGAUACCAGACUUCAGGCUCACGGCAGAAUUGUCUGAAGCCGAGCGGGCAUCAGACCUUGACUACGAGUAUAUUGCAACCAUGAUAACAGAGGAGCACACUGGAGUCAGGAUUGAAGCGUGCCAAGAAGUACUGCUGUUGUUGAAGCAGCACAAUAGCUGGGCUGUGUAUGCAGUUAACUUAGAGAAGAAAAAUUGCCUGGUGAUGGACCCAGUGGAGACACAAGAACUACCUAAUGAGGUGCAGGAUAAACACAAGAAAAACGGCACGAGGGUGAUUUCUAACCUGUGGCGUUGCAUACACGAGUGCAUUCCUGGGGUCCGUGUGUCGUCAGAAGGGUGGACACUGCACUUCAAGACGGGAGUGCAUGGUCACUGUGACAGGGAGGAAAGCUGGUUCUAUGCAAUGCACUGCCUCCGUGACUACAAUGGGGAGAGAGUUACCGCACUGACUGAGGGGCAGCUUGACUACAUGGCGAAAUCGCUGGUGUACAAGAUGGUGACGAUGAAGGAAAACAGGGCAAGGCUUCCAUUCUGCCUCCGGGCAACCACCGAAUAG
rnacentral:rRNA from 1 species